CACGUAGGGUGCGAGCGUUGUCCGGAAUUAUUGGGCGUAAAGAGCUCGUAGGCGGUGUGUCGCGUCGGCCGUGAAAACCUGCAGCUUAACUGUGGGCUUGCGGUCGAUACGGGCAUCACUGGAGUUCGGCAGGGGAGACUGGAAUUCCUGGUGAUAGCGGUGAAAUGCGCAGAUAUCAGGAGGAACACCGGUGGCGGAAGGCGGGUCUCUGGGC
rnacentral:rRNA from 1 species